UAUUUACAUAACAAAGUCCUUGUUUGGAUAGUUGCGUUGGCAGUACGUAGGUCCGUGUGACUUGGGAUCUAGUACUGACCACUUGCCCUGAUCUUCUCCAGCCUGACGGGAAGAACACUACCUCACUCCGAUCAACAAUGACCACUUUGUGGGAGACCGGUCUCAUUUUUACUCUUCAGACAGUUGCACACCAUCACUUGAUCACUGAGCAAAGCCCAGCCAUGUUCUCACCCUGCAUGUUGCUGCAGUUCAGUGCUUCUUCAAAGCAUUGUCUGAGAUCUGGUUCCUCAGAAGGGCGAUUUUUAAACUGUGCAUGAAGGAGAUUUAGUGAAGAAAUGUUCCAGGAAAAACUGGUAAGAACGUGACAUUUUCGCUGUCAUUGCCUCCAUCCUCCCCACAAUUCCACAGAAGGGGUAAAAUACAAAGGAGACUCAGGAGAGCUUAUCACAGACCAGGAGGGAUCUGGGGCACACCUCACCCCAGGAGGUGGAUGGGAAGCAAGAAGCACCAAGGGACAAUAUCAAGAAGUAACAUCUCCAGAAGGUACCUAGCUCGAUCCCACCGGGAUGCUCUGAGCCAAUGUGA
rnacentral:lncRNA from 1 species